AGAUAGGUACUCAAGAGGUAAAGAGAGCUUCCCGCUAAGAAGCUAGACGAGAAAUCGUGCAAGGGUUCAAAUCCCUUCCUAUCUG
rnacentral:tRNA from 1 species